rnacentral:rRNA from 1 species
UACGGAGGGGGCAAGCGUUGUUCGGAAUUACUGGGCGUAAAGGGCGCGCAGGCGGCUGCUCAAGUCAGGCGUGAAAGGCCUGGGCUCAACCCGGGAAUUGCGCUUGAGACUGGGCUGGCUUGAGUGCGGGAGAGGAUGGUGGAAUUCCCAGUGUAGAGGUGAAAUUCGUAGAUAUUGGGAAGAACACCGGUGGCGAAGGCGGCCAUCUGGACCGCAACUGACGCUGAGGCGCGAAAGCGUUGGGAGCAAACAGG